UAGAACUGUAGUCAACCAUGACAUAUGAUUUGCACUCAUAAAGUGUUUAUCCAACCUGUUUU
rnacentral:tRNA from 1 species